rnacentral:rRNA from 1 species
UGGGGAAUUUUGGACAAUGGGCGAAAGCCUGAUCCAGCAAUGCCGCGUGUGUGAAGAAGGCCUUCGGGUUGUAAAGCACUUUUGUCCGGAAAGAAAUCCUUGGCUCUAAUACAGUCGGGGGAUGACGGUACCGGAAGAAUAAGCACCGGCUAACUACGUGCCAGCAGCCGCGGUAAUACGUAGGGUGCAAGCGUUAAUCGGAAUUACUGGGCGUAAAGCUGCGCAGGCGGUUUGCUAAGACCGAUGUGAAAUCCCCGGGCUCAACCUGGGAACUGCAUUGGUGACUGGCAGGCUAGAGUAUGGCAGAGGGGGGUAGAAUUCCACGUGUAGCAGUGAAAUGCGUAGAGAUGUGGAGGAAUACCGAUGGCGAAGGCAGCCCCCUGGGCCAAUACUGACGCUCAUGCACGAAAGCGUGGGGAGCAAACAGGAUUAGAUACCCUGGUAGUCCACGCCCUAAACGAUGUCAACUAGUUG